rnacentral:piRNA from 1 species
UCUGCCUGUAUGUAAACAAUACGCAAAU